CUCAUAGCAAAUGGGACCCAGUGGAAGGUCGAGGAUCCUGGCCCCUCCAGGCUUGGGGGGCUCAGCAUCUGGAAGGCCCAGGACUGAGGGCUGGCUCUGCAGGUGUGGGGACACCCCAAGAGGGCUGCUGGAGGGGCUACAAGACCCCUGUUAAGAGGCUGACCUCACAGAAGACCUUCUGCUGGGGACAGAGGGUCACAGACAGACAGUGUUGGCAGCUGGGAGGGGGAGGGCAUGUGUGUGCAUGUAUGUGCUUGAGUGUGUGCACACAUGUGUGUACAUAUGUGUGCUUCUGUGUGUGCUCGUGUCUGUGUGCAUUCUGUGAUUGCUUGCGUGUGUACACAUGUGCACGUGUGUGUGUGCUCAUAUACAUGUGCGUGUGUGCAUGUGUGCUCGAGUCUGUGCGUGUGUACUCGUGUGUAUGCCCAUGCGACAGUGUGAGCAGGUGGAGAAGCAGCAGGAGAGGUGGGUGGAAGGGCCCUGGGGCAGCGUCGGGGAGGGCGGGGGAGGCGCCAGAGAAAGUCGGGGCACAGAGCUAGGGAUGAGUCACAGAGCAGGUGGGACUGGCCCGUGUGGACCCCAGCUGGGGCUGACUGGCUGUCGUGGUCAGUCAAGCUGCUUAGCACUGGAGGAGGUGUCACUGAGGCCUGGAGGCUCAUGGGCACCAGAGCAGCUGCUGACCCUGCAGCCACAUGUGCUGCUUUGGCCCACAGGCCAGGGCUGGGUUCCAGCCCCUGUUUGUCCCUCAGCCGAGGGCCCUUGUGCAGUGCACAACAUACCCAACUGCACUCGGGUGGUGGAAAGCCAAGGCACCUGGCCUGCCGCUCACAAGGCUGAGCUGCAGCUGGUCAGGCACAGGAAGGCGGCCGAGAGCUGGUGGCACCCAGUCCCGCCAGCUGCCCAGGCUCAGGACACGGGGUCCCAUCUAGCCAUGAGGGCCGAGGGGAAGCCAAGGGCAGAGUCCACGGUCCAGCUCACUGAGAGAAGCUGGGCAUCUGGGUUUGUAACAAGCAUCGCAAGAGAGUCAAUGUACACGUCCAGAGAGACAUCCGACCUCAGGCUUGGUGGGAACACGGGCAGAGAGCGAGAGAGACGGGGCACGCCCCUGGGAACACGGGGCAGAGGGCGAGAGAGACGGGGCACGCCCCUGGGAACACGGGCAGAGGGCGAGAGAGACGGGGCACGCCCCUGGGAACACGGGCAGAGGGCGAGAGAGACGGGGCACGCCCCUGGGAACACGGGCAGAGGGCGAGAGAGACGGGGCACGCCCCCGGGUUGCACUCUG
rnacentral:lncRNA from 1 species